UUGCAUCAUGAUUUACAUUUGAGUGAGUGGCGAACUGGUGAGUAACACGUGGGAAACCUGCCCAGAAGCGGGGGAUAACACCUGGAAACAGAUGCUAAUACCGCAUAACAACUUGGACCGCAUGGUCCGAGCUUGAAAGAUGGCUUCGGCUAUCACUUUUGGAUGGUCCCGCGGCGUAUUAGCUAGAUGGUGGGGUAACGGCUCACCAUGGCAAUGAUACGUAGCCGACCUGAGAGGGUAAUCGGCCACAUUGGGACUGAGACACGGCCCAAACUCCUACGGGAGGCAGCAGUAGGGAAUCUUCCACAAUGGACGAAAGUCUGAUGGAGCAACGCCGCGUGNNNAAGAAGGGUUUCGGCUCGUAAAACUCUGUUGUUAAAGAAGAACAUAUCUGAGAGUAACUGUUCAGGUAUUGACGGUAUUUAACCAGAAAGCCACGGCUAACUACGUGCCAGCAGCCGCGGUAAUACGUAGGUGGCAAGCGUUGUCCGGAUUUAUUGGGCGUAAAGCGAGCGCCGGCGGUUUUUUAAGUCUGAUGUGAAAGCCUUCGGCUCAACCGAAGAAGUGCAUCGGAAACUGGGAAACUUGAGUGCAGAAGAGGACAGUGGAACUCCAUGUGUAGCGGUGAAAUGCGUAGAUAUAUGGAAGAACACCAGUGGCGAAGGCGGCUGUCUGGUCUGUAACUGACGCUGAGGCUCGAAAGUAUGGGUAGCAAACAGGAUUAGAUACCCUGGUAGUCCAUACCGUAAACGAUGAAUGCUAAGUGUUGGAGGGUUUCCGCCCUUCAGUGCUGCAGCUAACGCAUUAAGCAUUCCGCCUGGGGAGUACGGCCGCAAGGCUGAAACUCAAAGGAAUUGACGGGGGCCCGCACAAGCGGUGGAGCAUGUGGUUUAAUUCGAAGCUACGCGAAGAACCUUACCAGGUCUUGACAUACUAUGCAAAUCUAAGAGAUUAGACGUUCCCUUCGGGACAUGGAUACAGGUGGUGCAUGGUUGUCGUCAGCUCGUGUCGUGAGAUGUUGGGUUAAGUCCCGCAACGAGCGCAACCCUUAUUAUCAGUUGCCAGCAUUAAGUUGGGCACUCUGGUGAGACUGCCGGUGACAAACCGGAGGAAGGUGGGGAUGACGUCAAAUCAUCAUGCCCCUUAUGACCUGGGCUACACACGUGCUACAAUGGAUGGUACAACGAGUUGCGAACUCGCGAGAGUAAGCUAAUCUCUUAAAGCCAUUCUCAGUUCGGAUUGUAGGCUGCAACUCGCCUACAUGAAGUCGGAAUCGCUAGUAAUCGCGGAUCAGCAUGCCGCGGUGAAUACGUUCCCGGGCCUUGUACACACCGCCCGUCACACCAUGAGAGUUUGUAACACCCAAAG
rnacentral:rRNA from 2 species